AGCGUAUAAGUUUCGCGGAACGACUGCAGAGCUGUGUGCGAAACGAAGUUGACUAAUCCUCGCCGUGUUGAAGUUCAAAUUAAAUUCACUAUAUAUAAUAUAUACGCUUUAUACGUGUGUGUGUUUACUUAACAUUUGAAUUUCAAUCUGUCAGAGAGAUAAGAGCCAAGCUUUUAAAAGUUGUUUGACGCGACCUUCUCACGGUAUACGAUAAUGUUAUGUGUG